GACGAACGCUGGCGGCGUGCUUAACACAUGCAAGUCGAACGCAGUGGGAACGGGUGAGUAAUACGUGAGUAACCUCCCUCCUUUUUGGGUUAAGCCUUGGAAACGGGGUCUAAACCGGAUAGAUGGGGUCGCGGCCUAUCAGCUUGUUGGUGGGGUGAAGGCCUACCAAGGCGGUGACGGGUACCCGGCCUGAGAGGGUGACCGGCCACAUUGGGACGGGGGGCAGGGCCAGGAUGCUACCGGAGGCAUCAGUAGGGGAGCGUCGGGAAUGGACGGAAGGCUGGACGAGCAAAGCCGGGGGAGGGAAGGAGGGUUUCGGGUCGUAAAGCUCUGUUGUUAGAGAAGCGGUAACUAACCAGAAAGGGACGGCUAACUACGUGCCAGCAGCCGCGGUAAUUC
rnacentral:rRNA from 1 species